rnacentral:rRNA from 1 species
GGAAUGAGUACAAUUUUAAAUCCCUUAACGAGGAACAAUUGGAGGGCAAGUCUGGUGCCAGCAGCCGCGGUAAUUCCAGCUCCAAUAGCGUAUAUUAAAGUUGUUGCAGUUAAAAAGCUCGUAGUUGAACUUCGGGCCUGGCCGGGCGGUCCGCCUUACGGGA